AUGCCGACGCCACGAAACCGGAAGGUCCCUGCCCCUGCCCCGCCGCGCCGGCGGCCUCCCCGCCUGGAGUACCGCGCAAAGGACGGCGCGUGGUACGGCGCGCGCAUGGCGCUGCAGGGCGACUCGCUGCGCGUCAUGUUCGAGGAAUUCCGCGAGGAGUUCGACGAGUGGCACGACCCAAACACGGCCGACCUCGCCUCCCCGGGCGACGUGACCGCGCUCCGCACCAGGUUCCGCCCGGCGAGCCCGCCCCUCGAGGACGCCCGCUGCGGCGACCUCCGCCGCGGCCAGCUGCUCUGCGUCCUCCGCGCCAUGUCCAACGGCGAGCGCAAGUACUACGACGCCAUCCUUGAUUCCGUGAAAAGAGCGGCUCACGUCACCGUGGGCGGCGAGGAGCGGUGCGCGUGCCGCUUCACAGUGCGGUGGACGGACGGGCCGCUCCGCGGCGGCCUGGACGAGGUCGGCGUCGACGAGGUCUGCUGCGUGCGGGACUCGCCGGUCAACGACCCGGUGCUGAGCGAGUUCCUGGACCGCGUGACGAGGUCGUUCGGCUUCGGCGACGGCGAGGAGAACGCGAAGGCGGUGCAGGACUCGCCGGUCCAGGAGCCGCGGCUAAACGAGUUCCUGGACCGCGUGACGAAAUCGUUCGGCUACUGCAACGGCGAGGAGAAACCGAAGGCGGCGCCUCAGGGGACCGGGGCCACGUUGCCCCCGGGCGGCGAGCAGAGCGCGACGGCGGCCCCUCAGGCGACCGGGGCCACGUCGCUCUGCGGCGGCGAGGGGGAGACUGCCUUCAUAAUCAUCGACUAG
rnacentral:rRNA from 1 species